rnacentral:tRNA from 1 species
GCCUGGGUGGCUCAGAUGGUUAAGCACCAGACUUCAACUCAGGUCACGAUCUCACGGUUUGUGGGUUUGAACCCUGCUUUGGGCU